rnacentral:rRNA from 1 species
CCCUUAGAUGUUCUGGGCCGCACGCGCGCUACACUGAUGCAUUCAACGAGCCUAUCCUUGACCGACAGGUCCGGGUAAUCUUUGAAUCUGCAUCGUGACGGGGAUAGAUUAUUGCAAUUAUUAAUCUUCAACGAGGAAUGCCUAGUAGGCGCAAGUCAUCAGCUUGCGUCGAUUACGUCCCUGCCCUUUGUACACACCGCCCGUCGCUCCUACCGAUUGGGUGUGCUGGUGAAAUGUUCGGAUCGGCCGUUUGUCGCGGUUUCCGCGGCUCGUGGCUGUGAAGUUCAUUAAACCCUCCCACCUAGAGGAAGGAGAAGUCGUAACA